UAUACCUUUUGUUGCCUCGGCGCAUGCUGGCCUCUAGCAGGCCCCUCACCCCGGUGAGGAGAAGGCACGCCGGCGGCCAAGUUAACUCUUGUUUUUACACUGAAACUCUGAGAAAAAAACACAAAUGAAUCAAAACUUUCAACAACGGAUCUCUUGGUUCUGGCAUCGAUGAAGAACGCAGCGAAAUGCGAUAAGUAAUGUGAAUUGCAGAAUUCAGUGAAUCAUCGAAUCUUUGAACGCACAUUGCGCCCUCUGGUAUUCCGGAGGGCAUGCCUGUUCGAGCGUCAUUUCAACCCUCAAGCAUUGCUUGGUGUUGGGGCACUGCCUGUAAAAGGGCAGGCCCUGAAAUCUAGUGGCGAGCUCGCCAGGACCCCGAGCGCAGUAGUUAAACCCUCGCUCUGGAAGGCCCUGGCGGUGCCCUGCCGUUAAACCCCCAACUUUUGAAAAUUUGACCUCGGAUCAGGUAGGAAUACCCGCUGAACUUAAG
rnacentral:rRNA from 1 species